UGCUGCCUUUCCCCUGAGCCGAGGCGGCAGUCCGCACGCUUGCUUGCUCGCCGCCCACUUGGGAGCGGGCUCGGUGUGCGGAGUGAGUCCUCUUUUUGAUUUUGGAACUUGGGAGAGUCCUUUUUUCCUCCCUUCCCCCUCCAUUGUUUUUUCUUUCUCUCUUUUGGCUUGGUGCCUCUAGGGCUGGUUUCCCUGGCCCCUGAAUAACCGCUUCCUGACCCGGUCGCCAGCCCCGCCCCAGGGUGCUCCCCCACCCCGGCUCUGCCCCGGCCCCGGAGGGUGGGAAGCCUUGCCUAGCGCAGCGUAGCCGCACCUGCCUCAGUAUGCAUGGGGUCAGCGACCCUCCUCUUUUUAUAAAAGACAUUAAGGCCGGACUGAAAAACUUAAAUGUCGUCUUUAUUGUCCUGGAGAUAGGACGCGUGACCAAAACCAAAGACGGCCAUGAAGUGAGGUCCUGCAAAGUAGCUGACCGAACGGGAAGCAUCACCAUUUCUGUGUGGGAUGAGAUCGGAGGGCUCAUACAGACAGGGGAUAUUAUUCGGUUGACCAGAGGGUAUGCGUCAAUGUGGAAAGGAUGCCUGACACUUUAUACUGGAAGAGGUGGUGAACUCCAAAAGAUUGGGGAAUUUUGUAUGGUGUAUUCAGAAGUGCCAAAUUUCAGUGAGCCAAACCCAGAUUAUAGAGGACAGCUGAGCCAAGGGGUACAAAAUGAGCAGAAGGAUAAAAUAAGCACCAAUACUUUUGGGCCAGUGGGGAAUGGUAUUCAGACUGGGCCUGAAUCAAGGGGAUAUCAUCUUCCAUAUGCUGGUAGAAGCAAUGGCCGGGCGCCUGUCAGUCCACAGCUACCAGGAGCACCUUGUAGUCAAACAGUCAUGACCACAAUAAGUAAUGCCAGGGAUCCGAGGAGAGCCUUUAAAAGAUGACCUAAGCCAAAGAGACACAUGUAGUUUUUAAACUAUGUGCCCUACUUGAACACUUAGUGCACUUUUAUUUAUUGUUAACUGUGAAAAGUUUGUCUCCUACGGGUUUCCUUUUACAUUUUUGGUUUGUUAUAAAGAGAGGAUGGUUUUUACUGAAAAACUGUUAAGCUGCUCAGUUACAUCCUAUGGAAGAAUAGGAACUCUGAAAGCAGGAACAUUUAUUUUUAGAGUAAGAACUUACUGGGUAUCACUUGAAAACCUGUCCCUGUUUCAGGGGUGAGACUUAAGACACCAACUUUAUAUAUAGCCUCUGUGAGUGUGUCUUCUGCAUAAACUUUGUAAUGUUUGUCAUAAUGUUUAAUGGAAAAUGUCUGUUGUCUUAAAUUUGGAUAUUGCCAACUGAAGCAAUAACCACCCCACGCCAGAAACCUGGUCAGUGCUGACAGCAUUUUUGAGUGUGUGUGAUCCAGCAAUGACUUGACUUCCUAGAGUGACUGCCUGCUAUUUGGUUUACCAAGGACAGAAUCAUCCUAAAUUCUUGUUUAAUAACCAGAUAACCAGAUUCUUUAUCAGAAUUAUGGAAUAAAAUAUGUAAUACAGCAAGUACUUUUUUGUUGCAAACAUUGAAGAGUACAUUCAAGGCAAAUUUAUAAGUCCUUGAAUGUUUUACUUUUGAAACUACCAUGUUAAAUAUUGAAGUGUAAGUGGAGGGAUUGUGGGGAGUUGUAACCCCUGAUUGAACAGUAGUCAUUAGUAUUAGUUGUAGUACUUUUGAGACGGGGUCUUACUGUGUACCCCUGCCUGGGUUGGAUCUUGUCACGUAGACCAGGUGGGUCUUUGAAUAAUAGAGCUGCCUGCAUCUUUCCCCAGUGCUGGGAUUAAAGUUGUUCACCACCACACCAGGCUGAUCUGAUUACUUUUAAAAAUACUCAUGGCAGAUGAAUAUUGUAGCAGAUGCAAUUCAGAUUGAAUUCUAAUAGCCAUAUGACUGCCUGAUACAAGUAGUCAGAAGUAAAAAUGCUAGUACUCCCUUUCUUCAAUGGGUGUGUGUGUUUUAAAGUUUCUGAACACAAUUCACAUAGCCUUAUUAGCAAAGUUAAGUGGCUCAAGAAGUGAUUAUACCUCUGUUAAUGCUAGGGUGUGAUUUGUGUAUAAUGGAACUUCCUUUCUCUGUGCAGUGUGUAAUUGGUAAUUUUUCAUUGUUCCUAUUUGUUUCUCCUUAAACAUUCUCUCCUGAAUAAAACUUGCUGUAAUGACACAUCUUAAUCUUUCAGUAAACAUGGAGAGCCCAGUCCAUUUUAUUGAAGUUGUAACCAGCUUCAGCCUGGCUGCUCCAUACCUCUGUACCUGUCAUUUCUCCUCACCUCAGAUUGUAAAAAUAAUCUGCAUGGAUACCACUCAUCAAGAAGUUUUGGAAGUGUCAACCCUCCUUUCUGGUGCCUUCAGCUAUCAACGUUGACAAAUAUCAACAAGACCCAAUGAAACAAACCAUGUAGUGUAGAAAUGCAGUGCUAAGAUUGGGUCCCCAUUACUGUUUCUAGGCACGGUCCUGGAGUGGAGCAAACACAUAUGAUCAGACCAGCUUUUGUCUGGCCAAGUUGUGGGGAUUUGCCACACAAUAGAAAAUGAAAGGUGAAGUCCACCCCAUAGAAGCAGCAUGUAAACACCAGGUUUUUCUGUGCUGUACCAACUCCCUAUUUUACUUUUUGUCCAUAGUCUUAGGAAAUUUUUGUUAAAAUUUGAAGAGUGAUUAAUUUUUAAAGCAUAGUUUGAAGGUUAACUAGCCCUUUUAACUUUUUUUUUUUUUAAAAAAGCAGAUUAUAUACUGAGUGUUCUAGCCCAAUGAUGUGAAGAAGCACCACAGUUGAUAAUUUCCAUUUACAGAGUGAUCAGACAUGUCAGUGGAGUUGCUGAAAUGGCUUCCCUUCUUGGGUAUCAUUAGCAUAGUGACUGCUUGAAGCCAUUUUAGGUUGUAUGUGUGACUCGUGACGUUCUAAUGGUGACUGAAAAACACUGGAAGCAACAAGAACAGUUUCCCAAACAGGCAUGUGACAUGUUCUAACCCCACUGAGAUCCCUUAUCUCACUGAUUUUUACAUCUCUCACCUGAUGAAAGUCUGAUGAUUGUUUAGUAGGCAAGGAUCAUGUGGUUUCAGUCAUUUUCUAGCACAGUGGUGUGAGGAAGUUAGGGAUCAUCAUGAGAUCCUUGUGUGCUGAGGCGCUAGCCGUUCAUUACAAGUGGGAGUAACUAAACUGCCCAAUAUUUCACAAAGUAGUUUUAAUCAGGCGUGCUGCUGACACCUAAUUGUGACCUUUGAAAAUAACACUAUCACUGAUGUAUAACACCCCAAGGCAGAAGCUAGAUAAUUGUUUUCUAGGUAUAUUUAAGUCUCUAGAUAGCCCAAGGUUUGCUUUAUUUGGAAUAUGCUAGUUUGAAGGAUAUAGUCAAAUUAUACCAGGUUUCUGAAUGAACAAAGUCUUGAUAUUUCUGGAAGCACAAAUGAGACUCAAAAUGAAGUCCCUUAAGUUACUAGGAAGCAUUUUUCCCCCACACUGACAUUAGGUCUCAAAAUACUACCAAGAAUAGCUUUUACCUUUCUCAGGUGUUCAGUGUAGUACCAUUUCAACCAGUAGGUGCCCAAGCUUUGAAGAGUGAAAGUAUACAACCCAAUAUUUUCUGGUUUACCCUAACUGUCCAGAGCUAGGUGGCAGUUAUUCUUUUAAAGUUAAUUCACAUCAGGAUCCAAGCUAGGCCUGCUUUCUUGUUCACAAACUACAGUUACCUUGAAUUACAUGUUAGUAAAACUGGUUAUAAGUCACACACAUGAGCUUUUCAGAAGUGUGGGUUGCCCCCUCUGAUCUGCAAGGGAACUUAGGGUCUACUGUCUUUGCUAACUCCUUUUCACAAUCAGAAAACUAUUUUGGAAUUAUGUGUGCCUUCUCAGUUCCUUUUCUGUAAAUCUAGAACAUACUAAGUUGUAUUGAACAGGGAAAAAUGUAUUUAGAACAAUGUUUCUUCAAAUCACAGAAUUACUGGCUGAGGCAAGUGUUUCUAAAUAGAGAUAAUUAGGCCCUCUACAUAGGAAUGCUGGGAUUUUUGAAUUAGGUUCAAAUAGAAUCAACCAAAAUACAGCAAAGCUGAGAUCAGAUCUCUGAGAGGAGGUCUUAAUGUGGCCCAGGCUUGCCACAUUAUGUAGAACUGCUCUACGUAAGAUCAGAUCUCUACAGAGGAAUUUCAUGGCUGAACUGACCUGUGCAUCCAGUUAAAAUCAUCUUUUUCACCCUGGCCAUUAGGUUCACAAAGUACAUUUUGAGGGCUUAGCUCAGGAAAUACAUAUUUUUGUAUGUGUCUUUUCAUACUUUUUUCAGCUCUACAUGAAAAAAAUGACGGGUUAUAAGGUAGGGUUGGAGGCAUUGACAUCACUGGGGGUUCCUAGGGCACACAUCACUAUCAGAUCUCAGUCCCAUUUUAAGCACAGUUUCCACAGGAGUUUGAAAUUCUUAGCCCAAAAAUUGUCAGCACUAGAGCCAUCUACUGGUAGGUAGUUUUUGUGGAUGAAUCUGGUUUAUGUUAAGAUAGUCCAUUAUCCCAUAGAUGAUGAUUGCUGAUUUAUACCGAAAAUAAAUGACAUUAAGAAGUGAUGGGAGGAAAAUGUCCUUUUAAGCAGAUCAAACACUGAACUGCCCCAAAAGAUACAGAAGGAACAAGAUUGCAAAGAUUGCCUGUCAAGAUUUUUAAAAAUUUUACCUGCAUGUUUAGAUGUGGACUGCAUGUGUGCCUGGUGCCUGUGGAGGAUGGAAGAGGGCAUCAGAUCCCUAGAACUUAAGUUAGAGAUGGUUAUGAGCUGCCAUUUGGGUGCUGGGAAUUGAACCCAGUUUUUUGUUUUUUGUUUGUUUGUUUGUUUUUGUUUUUGUAAGAGGAACAAGUGUUCUUAACCAUUGAACCUUCUUUCUCCAGCCUGUACUGUCAAAUUUUAGACUCAUGUUUGUCAGUAUUAAUCGAAACUGUCACUGUUUUGUGUGUGUGUGUGUGUGUGUGUGUGUGUGUGUGUGAAAGUGUAGAGUCUAGGAACUAUUCCAUUAUCGAGUGGUAUUUUAUGCCAAGUGACUGGUGCUAUUUUUGUAGUUACAUGAACUUUGCCUAUCAGAAUUCAAAUGUAAAGUGAAAACACAGUUUUGAGCUGAAGAGAUCUUGUUUCAGUCCUGUAUCUGCUAUUUACCAACUACCUGACCAAGAACCUAACCGGAUAAUGGGGUGAGCCAGUGUUUACAAAGCAUGUUCAUAGUCAAGGCCUAACAAAUAUAAGCCCUUUAUGAUACUGGAAGUAAGACAAAUAACUAUCAUUUCUCUAUACCACUUGGAGAGAAUUCAGAAAAAAAUUAAUUGAA